GCUGGGCACAGUGGCUUGUGCCUGUAAUCCCAGCUUCUUGGAAGGUUGAGACUGUAGACUCAUAUGAGUUUUGGGGUUCUGGGCUGCAGUGGGCCAUGCUGAUCAGGUGUCCAUACUAAGGUCAGAAGCAAUAUGGUGACCUGUGGGAAGCUGUAGGUUACCAGGUUGUUUAAGUAGGGAUGAACCUGUGAGUAGUUCCUGUAGCCCAGCCUGAGUGAGACACAGUCUCU
rnacentral:sRNA from 1 species